CCUCCGGCCUCCGCUAGGUGAUGCUGCGCCCGCCUGCGCGCCGCGCCGCCCGCCGGGCGGGGCUGGGUUCCGACGGUCGGUACCGGGUCCGACUGUGUGAGAUGAUUUUUCCCUCCACCAGUUGGAUUUCUUCUCUUCUGGGAAAGACGAGAAUUCUACCAUCCCUGCUGGGUUCUGUCUUCAGCUCUCUUUUCUGCGGCACUAGUACAGUUCAGCUUCAUAAGGAGGCUUUUCAGCAGAGAAGCCUGCGGGGUUGAACCAGUGCCAUGGGGGAAUGAAUUCUUCAAUAGAUCUCCAGCCUCCUUUCUCAAAAUUAAAAUGUGGUGACUUGCGGAAAAGCAUAUGUAUAUAAACGACA